UGAGGAAUAUUGGUCAAUGGGCUUACGCCUGAACCAGCCAAGUCGCGUGAGGGAAGACUGCCCUAUGGGUUGUAAACCUCUUUUGUCAGGUCAGAAAAGAAGG
rnacentral:rRNA from 1 species